CACAAAUACUAUUUUCAAAAUCCAAAGGAGUGGAAAAUUUUAGGCAAAUAAGAAAAUUAAUCAGUAACGAUAGAACUUAUUUAAUAGAAUGUCGUAUUUAUUGUCAUAGUGCCAUGUCACUCUAAAUUAAACUAAAAUAAACUAAACUAAUCUUUUUAAACAAUUUUCAAAAAUGAAUUAAUUAAAAUUAAGUUAAAAAUUAAUUAAAUUAAAUUCAAAAUGAAUUAAAAUUGAAUUAAAAAAAGAUUUAAAAAUAAAAUAAAUAAAUAAUAAAUUGAAUUAAAAAAUGAAUUAAAAAUUCAAUUUUCUGCUAUUGUUAUUAUUGUAAUGUCGUAUUUAUAGUCCAGUGUUAAUCCGUCUAAAUUAAAAGUUCGAAAAAAUUUUUUAAAAUGAAUUUUCCUUCUGUUUUCAUAAUUUUCUACUCAGUGUUUAUAGAGCCAUUGAUUGGAAUUAAUGGCUAUCGAAUUUUGGCAGUGUUUCCUUUUAAUUCACGAAGUCACAAUUAUUUUUUCGAGGGAGUGACAAAAGCAUUGGCUCUCAAUGGACAUCAAGUGGAUGUUGUUACACAUUACAAAUUGGAAAAUCCACCAAAAAAUUACAAAACAAUUAUCAAUUUAGAUGGAACGAGAAAAAGAAUAAUAAAUCAUUUUUCAUUUGAUAAUGUUAAUGUACUACAAGAAUCGAUAAUAAAGACUUUCUCCCUGUUACAUGGAAAUCAACUUUGUGAAUUGCUGGGUCUGCCAGAGUUGCAAAAUUUAAUCAAGAAUCCACCGCAGGAUCCGCCUUAUGAUCUUCUUAUAACUGAGAUGUUUUGCGCCUCAUGCUUCAUUGGAAUUGGACAUGUUUUGAAAGUGCCGGUUAUCACGAUAUCGUCAUUAAUGGAAAUUUCGUGGUCUAAUGAUAUACUUGGAAAUCCACAUUCGGCGGCAUUUUUUCCAAAUAUAUUGAGUAAUUUAACGGAAAUUUCCACAUUUUGGAAUCGAUUGGUGAACGUUAUUCAAAUACAUCGAAGUAGAUAUGAUUUUUAUAUGUUUACCGAAGAUGCGCAAACGAAAGCGAUGAGAAAAUACUUGGAUCCUAAUAUGCCAAAUAUAAGACAGGUGGAGGGAAGCAUUUCACUCUCAUUCUUCAAUACAUUUUACAGUUUACAUGGUAUAAGAAGUAAAACACCAGCUGUAAUUGAAAUCGCUGGAAUUCAUUUGGAAAAUUCCGAGACCGAAUUGUCGUCUGACUUUCAAGAAUGGAUGGACGAAAGCAAAAAUGGCGUUGUAAUUUUUACAUUGGGAUCAAUGGUUCUAUUAGAAACACUUCCAAGGGAAACUCUUUUCGCAUUUUACGCAGCUUUUGAAAAAAUAGCGCCCAUCAGAGUUUUAAUGAAAAUUGUCAACGAGGAAAAAUUACCACCAGGACUUCCGAGCAACGUUCGCAUUUCUACUUGGUUACCUCAAUAUCAAUUGAUGGGUCACAAUAAUACUCGAUUAUUUAUAACACACGGUGGAUUAUUAUCUACAUUAGAGGCACUCCACUUCGGUAUUCCUACAAUCGGAUUACCUCUCUUUGGAGAUCAAUUUGCAAAUGCUCAUCUUUUGCAGAAAAAGAAUAUGUCGAUUUUAUUAGAUUAUAAAACAAUAACUGAGGAGAAGUUAAACAAAGCUUUCAAUUCUCUUUUACAUGAUCCCAUCUACAGGGAAUCAGCGAAACGUGAAUCAAAAUUAUUUCACGACCGGCCAUUUACACCGAGUCAAACUGUCAAUUAUUGGGUAGAAUACGUAAUUCGAAAUGGACCAAAUGUUUUAAGAUCACCUGCAGUCGGUGUAAAUUGGUGGAAAAGGGAACUUCUCGACGUUUACGGAUUUUUAAUGCUCUGCUUUUUAAUACUUUUGAUUUUAACAAUUCUCUCCUUAAAACUUAUUGUAGAUUUAAUUUUUAAAUUUUUCCUUUUGCCAACAAGGCCAACAACUAAGAAAAGUGGAGGUAUUUUAGCUUUCUAAGUAUUUAAUAUUGUUAACUAUUUUUAAGUAUACUAGCUAAUUAAAAACAUAAUUUUAACUAUAGAGCAACAAAUAAUUCGUCAUUUUUAGAGAAAAUGUAUUUAAUUUUUCGAUUUGAAUGUAAAUUUUAUUCGAUGUUAAAUAAAAAUUUCAAUAAAAAUAUUUAGAAUAACAAAUAAUUCGUUACUUUUAUAGAGAAAAUAUUAUUCACUGAUUUAUUUUAUUAAUGUAAAUUUUAUCUGAUGUUUAAAAAAUGAAACGUAACUUUAUCUCUAAUUUUUUUUUUCUUUGAAGUGCCUAGAUCAAUUUUGCAAUAGUGAAGUUAAACGUAUAGAAGAUUAUUAAGUUUAUCAUAAAUAUAAUUUUAAAUAAAAUUUUUCUAAAGAUUUUUCCAUUCAAUAAGCAUUAUGCAAGCAGAGCAUUGAAACUGAUUUUAUUAUCUCGUUUUGCGUUGUUUCAUUAAAUUCUAUCAGUCGAAAAACAUCGUUGCACUGAGCGCAUUAUCUUUUUCUCCGGAGUCUAUAACAAUUUCUUUCUAUCAUCCCUUUCAAAGAAAAAUUACUAAUUAAAAAUUUUUUCAUAACGCGGUGCAAAAAAGGGCACUUUUUUGCACCUUGUUAUAAAAAAUAUCAACUAAGAACUUAUUGCAAUAAAAUAAAAAAACAAUUUAAGCAAAUCAGAAUUUCGACAGAAAUUGGUAAAUUUUAUCAAAAAGUGAAGAAGUGGUUUCUUUUUGGUUUUUGAAAUUUGUGAAAUAGGGGAAAAU